GAAGUUUCAAUCAAAUUAAGCGCGCUUGGGAUUUUAAGGUUAUGGAGACAAACGAUUAAAAAGACAUUGAUAAAAGCUAAUGACUUGAAAAUGGCUUGGUGGAAGAGUACCAUCAGACAUUUUUCUUUGGAUUUAUGACAGUAGCGCUACUUCGCGUUCGUGUCAAAACAGUCGAAGCUUCGUCCUCCCCCUUUCCUCUUGACCAUAUUAUCAACCAAUAUACGGAUAUUCGGAUAUUGAAUAUCGAGUUGCUUUAUAUGAGCUUCUCGA